rnacentral:misc_RNA from 1 species
UCCAGCUUAUCGCUGGCGGUCUCCUGAGAGUGCACCCGAAGGUUAGCAACACAGGACAGGGGUUGCGCUCGUUGCGCCACUUAAGGCAACACCUCACGGCACGAGCUGACGACAGCCAUGCACCACCUGUGCGGGCUCCGUAGAGCGCCGGCUUUCACCGGCUUUACCCCGCAUGUCAAGCCCAGGUAAGGUUCUUCGCGUCGCGUCGAAUUAAACCACAUGCUCCACCGCUUGUGCAGGCCCCCGUCAAUUUCUUUGAGUUUUAACCUUGCGGCCGUACUCCCCAGGCGGAGAACUUAACGCGUUAGCUGCGCCACCGGAACGCUAAGCGCCCCGACAGCUAGUUCUCAUCGUUUACGGCGUGGACUAC